UACAGAGGUCCCAAGCGUUGUUCGGAUUCAUUGGGCGUAAAGGGUGUGUAGGUGGCGCGCUAAGUCGGGUGUGAAAUUUCGGAGCUUAACUCCGAAACUGCAUUCGAUACUGGCGUGCUUGAGGACUGGAGAGGAGACUGGAAUUCAUGGUGUAGCAGUGAAAUGCGCAGAUAUCAGGAGGAACACCGAUGGCGAAGGCAGGUCUCUGGGCCAUAACUGACGCUGAGAAGCGAAAGCAUGGGGAGCGAACAGG
rnacentral:rRNA from 1 species